UAACAAUUCAAAUGUUCCAGAAGUAAUGAACAGAUAAACAAAAUGUGAUAGAACCAUAUGGUGGAAUAUCGUUGAUUCUUAAAAAGCAGUGAAAUACUGGUACAUGAUACUAAAGGGUUGAAUCCUGAAAACAUUAUGCUAAGUUAAGAAACCAGACACAAAAGGUAUACACUGUAUGAUUCUGUUUACAUAGAAUGUCCAAAAAGGGCAAAUCAUAAAGACAAAAAACCAAUAGUGGAUUCCAGGGGUCAGGGUGUGCGUGUAUGAGGAGUAAGUGCUUGUGGGUAUGGGGUUUCUUUCCAGGUUGAUGAAAACAUUCUGAAUUAUAUUGUGAUGAUGGCCGAACUCUCUCAUCACACUGAAACCGCUGAACUGCAUCCUUUAAAAUGGGUCUACAUUCCCCUUUGUAAGAUGUUCCCCGCUCCUCACUCCUCUCUGGUGCUGGAAGAGACCAUUAUCAUGACAAAUGACCAUAUCACUGGAGACAGACGUCGGCACCAAGUUGGGCCUGUACAAGCAAAGCUUACUGAAACGUCCUCCAUCGUCCAUUAACUUCUCCAGAUACUUCCCCAUCCACAAUUGCCACCCCUUGAAGUCCACACUCUUUUUCUUUUGUCUUGUCCCUUCUCCACAAUUUAUUGCCCUCUGUUAGGAUGGUACAUAAGCCCCAAACUCACCACCGAGUUCUCCCAUGUGUAUGCAUGUUGCAUGUAUAAAUAAACUUUGGGGUUUUUUUUUCUCCUGUUAAUCUUUUACCAACUUGAUUUAUAAGCCUCAACCACUGAGUAUAAGAAGGUAGAGGAAGAAUAUCUCCUCCUCCACAUUUGGAUGCUCUGUAAUAUUUGGGAGUAAUGCGCCUAAAAGCUGCUUGAAUUUUAUGCAUGGUGAUGGGGCGGUGGUAUGUGACAGGGCAGAAAUCUGGAUUUUCUACUGUCCGUGACUUUUCCUGCUAUAAGUGGAAGAUGCACUAAGGUCUGGUAAUAAACUCUCUCACUGGGAGCAGACCGACGUGGUUCUCCCACGUCAUGUCCCUGUUCAGGGUUCUCUGGGCUCCCCGGGUUCCUACAGAGACUGUUCUGUUCUCCUUCCUGGCAGAUAAGCACCCAGAUGCAGGGGCUUUCCAUUCGUGUCACGGCUGGGAAACAGGCAGAGGUGUGCCCCUCUCGUGAAUCCCCCCUCACCAGGUCCGGUCUCACCCCUACCCACUACUCCACCUGAUAACCCUGCAUCAGGAGACCU
rnacentral:lncRNA from 1 species